CAUGUCCUUAAAAAUGCUGCAAACUUUUAUCCCGGUCCUGUUUUACUUCCCUCAGGAAUAAGACACUGAACUCUUUCGUUCUCAGCUUUGUAGGUUGUUCUCCUGCGUGUUUUGUUCAGUUAUACGUACCAUGGAAAACAAUAAGAAGAGUGGCAUUAAUCGUGUACAGACACCAGGUGCUUUCAGGACUACACAGGGACAAACACAACCUACAAUGUCAGGGAGGCAGAGGCGUGAGUUACAGCAAAAUAGGAGAGUCAGUUCUCUUGGACCAAGGCCUGCAUCCACCGGACAGAAUGCGCAAGAACAACAUGGUCUUACUUUACAGGCAAAAAUUAACAGGCUUUCCCAGGAACGCAUGCAUCAGCUGUUCACUGUUAUUGCAGAACGUAAUCCUCAACUAGUACAGGACAUUCUGGAUGAGGAUGAGUCCAUUAACAUCCCACAUGAUGAUCAACGUAAUGCCGAACUACCUCCCCCAUGGUGCCUGUGCCAUUGCUGUAGGA